rnacentral:rRNA from 1 species
GUAAGGAGCGGUGGACUGAUUACGAGUGAGAAUGUUGGCAUUAGUAGCGAGAUGUAAGUGAGAAUCUUACAGGCCGAAAAUCUAAGGUUUCCUGGGGAAGGCUCGUCCGCCCAGGGUUAGUCGGGACCUAAGCCGAGGCCGAAAGGCGUAGGUGAUGGACAAUUGGUUGAUAUUCCAAUACCACUAUUAUCGUUAUUAUCGAUGGUGUGACGGAGAAGGAUAGGAUGUGCUAGCGAUUGGAAAUGCUAGUCUAAGCAUUUAGGGAGUUAAAGUAGGCAAAUCCGCUUUAACAAUUCUGAGGUGUGAUGGGGAAGGUCAUUUUGACUGAAGUAUCUGAUUCCAUGCUUCCAAGAAAAGCAUCUAGAGAGAGAAGUAGUGCCCGUACCGCAAACCGACACAGGUAGAUGAGGAGAGAAUCCUAAGGCCAUCGGAAGAAUUGCAGUUAAGGAACUAGGCAAAUUGACCCCGUAAGUUCGCGAGAAGGGGUGCCUGUGAGAGCAGGCCGCAGAGAAUAGGCCCAAGCAACUGUUUAGCAAAAACACAGGUCUCUGCUAAAGCGAAAGCUGAUGUAUAGGGGCUGACGCCUGCCCGGUGCUGGAAGGUUAAGGGGAACACUUAGCGCAAGCGAAGGUGUGAACUUAAGCCCCAGUAAACGGCGGCCGUAACUAUAACGGUCCUAAGGUAGCGAAAUUCCUUGUCAGGUAAGUUCUGACCCGCACGAAUGGCGUAAUGACUUGGGCACUGUCUCAACUGUGAAUCCGGCGAAGUUGUAGUGCGAGUGAAGAUGCUCGCUACCCGCGAUUGGACGGAAAGACCCCGUAGAGCUUUACUGUAGCUUAGCAUUGAGUUUCGAUAUUGUCUGUACAGGAUAGGUGGGAGACUGAGAAGCUAGGGCGUCAGCCUUAGUGGAGUCAACCUUGGGAUACCACCCUGACAGUAUUGGGAUUCUAACCGGACGCCAUGAAUCUGGUGACGGGACAUUGUUAGGUGGGCAGUUUGACUGGGGCGGUCGCCUCCUAAAAAGUAACGGAGGCGCCCAAAGGUUCCCUCAGAACGGUCGGAAAUCGUUCGAAGAGUGCAAAGGCAGAAGGGAGCCUGACUGCGACACCCACAAGUGGAGCAGGGACGAAAGUCGGGCUUAGUGAUCCGGUGGUACCUCGUGGGAGGGCCAUCGCUCAACGGAUAAAAGCUACCUCGGGGAUAACAGGCUGAUCUCCCCCAAGAGUCCACAUCGACGGGGAGGUUUGGCAC